GCUGACACUAAAAUACCUGUUACUUAAUAUCUUUUCGAUCGAUGUGCAAGCAGAAAUCGAGUUAUUACAGACUGCAGCUUCUUUACAAAGGCUAGCACAUAGUUCUAUGGCAACUGCAGCGCAAGAAAAUUAUCCAACUCUGAUCAUUUAUGGAGUUUGCUUCAUGGUCUGCCUACAUGUGGCAGCUCUUGGAUUUUGGGUUUUCAAAGUAUUUACCACUCCAGAUAAAGAACAACAAAUAAAAGGUCAAAAGGGCCAUUAGUCAAGAGAGAGAACAUACAGGAAUGAUGAUUCUGCCGCUGGACUUUGGUAUCAAGGAAGAAAGAGUGGUGUUUGGAAAUCGUACAAGUGGCUACUCCUAAAUUGGUUAAUAUAUUUUUAUAUAGAUAUUUUUUUGUGCCUAUGGUGCAACAAACUGAAGGAUAAGUAGAGAAGAUGAAGGCAUGGGCUGUUCAGACCAGUGUGAAAUGAGCCUCCACUUGGUGUUGGGCUGAGCACAAUUGUUGAAGCUAUGAAUGAACUACUGGAUAGUCAGGCACAGGCAACAUUCCAGCACAGUCUGCCAGCUUGCUCUUCCUUAUAAGCUUCCAUGCUAGUGCUUUAAAUAGUUCCUGUGGAAGCCUGCUGUGAGGUUAUUCAGAUGCCAAGAAAUGCUACAAUGUUGUUUUAGAAAUCAGACAUUUUAAUGAUCAUAUUUUCUUUAGUACCAACUCAGAAUUUUCGUACACUCACUUACAAACCAAGUAUUUAAAUACUUUUAAAUAUAUUUCAGAGAUAGGAGACACACUUAUUUUUGUCAACCAGACAACUUAUCCUUUAAGAAAGGUUGGAAAAACUGAAAGUUUAACCAUUUACAUCACCCUUUAGCUCCUAGUCUUUCAUUACUAAAUCUUGAGCUCUCCACUGUCUACCAUGCAAUUUCAAUGAAGAUAGUAGUAGUUGAGUUUUUGUUUUUUUUCCUCAUCACUAGUCUGCUUGGUAUUGUAAAGAGAAAUUCUGUCUUCAUCCAAGCCUAA